ACGUAGGAGGCAAGCGUUAUCCGGAGUUACUGGGCGUAAAGGGCGUGCAGGCGGUUGGCUAAGUUCGUUGUGAAAGCGCCCAGGCUUAACCGGGCGAGGACAAUGAAGACUGGUCAGCUAGAGGACGGUAGAGGGGUGUGGAAUUCCGGGUGUAGUGGUGAAAUACGUAGAUAUCAAGAGGAAUACCGGUGGCGAAGGCGGGUAACUGGCCUAACACUGACACUCAGACCCGAAAGCGUGGGGAUCAAACAG
rnacentral:rRNA from 1 species